rnacentral:misc_RNA from 1 species
GAUGAAGAACGUAGCGAAAUGCGAUACGUAAUGUGAAUUGCAGAAUUCAGUGAAUCAUCGAAUCUUUGAACGCAUAUUGCGCUCUUUGGUAUUCCGAAGAGCAUGCUUGUUUGAGUAUCAGUAAACACCUCAAAACUUUUGGAUUUUUUAAUCGAAAAGCUUUGGACUUGAGCAAUCCCAACACCAAUCUUUUUGAGAUCGGUGGCGGGUUGCUUGAAAUGCAGGUGCAGCUGGACAUUCUCCUGAGCUAAAAGCAUAUUCAUUUAGUCCCGUCAAACGGAUUAUUACUUUUGCUGCAGCUAACAUAAAGGGAGUUUGACCGUAUUGGCUGACUGAUGCAGGAUUUCACAAGGGUCGGCAACGAUUCUUGUUAAACUCGAUCUCAAAUCAAGUAAGACUACCCGCUGAACUUAAGCAUAUCAAUAAGCGGAGGA